AACGCACAUUGCGCCUCCCCAUCACAGGGGAGGCAUGCCUGUCUGAGCGUCAUCAAAAUCUAAUAAACCCACCUUUGUAUGGGUUUGUAUUGGGCCCUGCGCCUCGUGCGCAUCGCCUGGAAGCCAUUGGCCUUGACCCUUGCGGAUGGGCUCCAUUCGGACGUACCGUGAGGGUGGUCAUAUUCCUAGAGGCCUGUGCCUCUCUUGAGUUGACCUCAGAUCAGGUAGGGAGACCGCCUGAACUUAA
rnacentral:misc_RNA from 1 species